rnacentral:rRNA from 1 species
UACAGAGGGUGCGAGCGUUAAUCGGAGUAACUGGGCGUAAAGGGCACGUAGGCGGUUAUAUUAGUCUGAUGUGAAAGACCUGGGCUUAACCUGGGAUGUGCAUUGGAAACGGUAUGGCUAGAGUAUGGGAGAGGGAAGUGGAAUUUCCGGUGUAGCGGUGAAAUGCGUAGAGAUCGGGAGGAACACCAGUGGCGAAGGCGGCGAUCUGGGAAGAUACUGACGCUGAGGUGCGAAAGCGUGGGGAGCAAACAGG